GUUCCUCCAAACACGAUGAUGAGGGAGAUACAGUAACCCUGAGGAAGAAGAGAACCAUGAGGUGACGAGAGGACAGCCGCCAUCACAUCAGUGGAAACCAGGCCAACGCAGGUUGUGUGUUAUAAAUAGCUCUCCUGUGUAUCAUCAUCAGCAAAAAGGCCAGGAAGAUCUCAUCAAGUGGAUGCUGGGAUCAUCACAGCAGCAUUUUCAGAGCGCACCUCAAGCUCUGGGUUAUAAAUAAGAUCCUACGCGUCACACCUUUGGCACAGAACAAGCCUCAGCCAAUGAGUGCGCAGCAGAGGAGUGGAGGCUGCAUGUGCACAGAGGUCUGCUAGAAAUAGAGGGAGAGGCCCACACUUCCCUUGAGAAAGAAAAAAAAAGAAAGAAAGAGAGCAACAAAAUGUGGUUUGAUGGCGCCAUCGUGCGGUGGGAACCAGAUGACCUCAUGUCGUUUGAGGAGCUUUAUUAUUUUGGCUCUUUAACGUUGACUAAAUAACCUCGUGAAGUAAAUCAGUGCUAAUAUUUAGAUCACCUUAUAAGGAGAAAUGAAGUGGCACGUGCGUAAAAUGUUGUAUUUUUGGCGAUAUUUACGUCUUUUGGUUGAAAAUGACCAAAUUAAUGAUUAUUUAGUGUAAAAUUGACAUACUAUGCUAAAUAAAAUUAUUUUAGCUUUUUUUACAAUAACUUGGAUAUUAUUGUUUUGUUGUUUGGAAUUGGGGUUUCAUUCACACAAAUGAUGUAAUAAAAUAAUCCUGGGAUAAAAACAGAGCUUCCCAGAUGUUUGGUCGUGUCUGAAGAACACCUGCGAUGAAGCCGCCUGUUGGAGGAAGGAGAGAGAGCGCGCGCAGGGGAAGAAGGGGAGUGGGGCAGAGGAGUGGACAGACUGGAACGGAGGGGGAGGCGUUUGGCUCGGCGAAGACGGGGAGCGAACGAGCAGAGAGGGUGAGGAACCAGCGGAUCUGGCCCUUUAAAUCACCAAUCCAGCGCGUUCAGAGAGACAAGCCAAUGAAAGCCACGCCGGCGUCCAGCUCUGUCGUUUCAGUCUAGCUUCCCUGUCAUCCCUGCAUCCCUCAAACCGUCCGCCGCAUCCGCUCGCAUUAGCGGCAAGAGAAGGUCCUGUCCGCACACCACCAGUCAGUUUCCUCCUGUAUUGGUGUCUUCUGAUGGAUCAGCAUGUCUACUACUAAUAACAUUGCCCAGGCCAGGAAACUGGUGGAACAGCUGAGGAUCGAGGCAGGGAUCGAACGUAUUAAGGUGUCGAAAGCAGCAGCAGACCUGAUGAGUUACUGUGACCAGCACGCUCGUAGCGACCCUCUGCUGGUUGGGGUUCCCACCUCUGAAAACCCUUUCAAGGACAAGAAACCCUGCAUCAUCCUAUAACUGCCCCCUUCUUCUCCUGCCCCUCCCGAUACACUCACACAUACUCACGCACAUACAGUUAAGGUCUCAAUUAUUACCCCCUGGAAGAAUUUUAAAGCAUUUCCAUAACACUUGUUUAACAUAUUCAAGUUGAUUUUUAUUUUAAUUUAAUUUAAUAACCACGUAAAGGGUAUCGUAAGACUUAAAGGAGAAAAAUCUGUUUGAUUCAAAGUUCAAUUUAACCUUAAUUAUUAAUAAAAUAAUUUCCGUGCAAAACAGAAAAAAAGUCGAUUUUGAAGACAAAACUUUUUGAAAAUAACGCUAGAAUUUCUACUGUCUAUGAGGUCAUAUAGUAAAAUACAAGCAGACUAAUUCUGUUCAAAACAAACAAGGACAAAUAUCUAAAAGAAAGGAUUUGUCUGCAAACACUUGGAAUCAAUCAUUAAUUUCUAGCAUAGAUGGUGAGGUAAUCUGGUGAUGGAAAAUGGAAAGCAAACAUUGAUCUCGGGGCAUUACUGUAGGGCAUUUUUUGGUGCAAGGGAUCAUAAAAACAGGAUAGUGCUCUUAUUUUGAAAAAUAAUCCAAUAAAUUCCAUUGCCAGACAGAUUUAGGGGAAAAUCUCGGUCCAAAAUAAUAAAAUAAAAACUGUAAUCUACAUGCUGGAGUGAUCUAUUAUCAUACACAAUCAUCUAUAUAGAUGUUUUAGGAAAACAAUAAUUUUGUAGCACAAAAACAGUUAUUAGUCUUUAUUAAUUUGGCACCAAAUGAGCUCUAAGCAGCUUGUCUACCAUCUAUAGAUUAAUAAUUUUGACCUUAACUGUACAAAUUCAUACAUUAAUGUCUGAUAUCAAAAAAAGGAUCCCCAGCUUUUAUUUAUUUAAUUUCCUUUCCAAUCUAAUGGGACUAAAGAUAGAAAACUCUCCCAGAACAGCCACUCUGGAAUCGUGCCAUACCCCAGAGUCACCACUAGGGGGCAGGUAUCUGUUGCUCCCAGGGGGUUUGAGGUGCUCAUGAACCACAGCUUGACUUGAAAGGGAUUUGGACCUUAAUAAUUAGCUGGAAACCAUUUUUUUUUUCUUGAGUUGCCAUAAAAUGAGGGUUGGGACACAAAAAUUGGUUUUAGGUGCAAGGCCAACUGUGCCAAAAAAAAAAAAAAAAAAAAAAAAAGACCAAGUUUCGCAUUUAAAGCCCAAUAAAUCCUUUUUUUAUUUUUAUUUUUGAGGGAAUAUUAAAUACAGUCUGACAGCUUUGUCCUUGGCUCAUUACAAGCAAGUGGCUAAAGCCUUUUGCCUUUAUCAGACGACAGCAUGUUCCUUGCCAAACCUGCAUCAACAGAUUCUCUCUGCCUGUGGCCUCACUAUGGCUGUCUGCAGCCUUUGGCCAAACCUCCAGCUGUGCCAACCUGUACAAAAAAAAAAACAAAAAAAAAAAAACAUCUUCUUUUGGGUGCCGAUCCGCCGUCUAAGAUCGGUCAAAGUGAUCCUCAGAUGCGCAUCCAUGGGGAGGAAACGGUGAACGGCAUGGCGCGUUUACUGCAUUUUUCUUAAAAAAAAAAACAAAAACUUGUAUGUGACUCUGUAUGUUUAGAUAUUUUGUUUAAGAAUUACUUAAAGGAUAAGUUCAUACUGUACAUUUUUAAUUCUUUAACAUAAAGGUGUUACCCCUGGGUAAAACAUAUUUCUUUUGUCCAUAAAGAGGUCGACCUGAACUAAAGGUUUCUUUGUACAUCCAACCUUCCUGUGCUUUACCCUGAGAGGGAGCGAGGUCACAGACUGGAGAAUCAACCUCCAAAGGCCAAAUCGGAACCAUUUUACUCACGUUUCAGUUUUUGUAACCGAAAAUAGCGUUUUGGAACACCUUUUAUUUGACUUCCCCAGCCUUUCUGGAGGUGUGUCUCUCCCUGGUAUAAUGUGAGUCCGCCCUGGUCGGGGUCUGCAUCCACCUCCUCCUCCUCCUCUGUGUCCUCCUCAACGCUCCUCCUCUCUUGACAAACCAAACUUGAUUGUAAAAACGGAAAGAAAACAUGGCAUUAAAAAAAAAAAAGAAAAAAGAUAAAAAAACUGUAUAAACUUUCUUUCUGAUGUGCACAAGUGAUAAGUUGAAGAGUAGCUGUUAUUUUCUAAUUUCUUUAUUUUAUUUAAUUUUCUGCCCCCUUUUUCUUAAGUCCAUGAAGCUUGGUUAGUUGAGUAUAAUUACCCUGUACAGUGUUUGUAAGAUACAGAAUCUGAACACAGAAUUCCCACCUGUGGAUGUUUUUAGUAAUACUUCUGUUCUGUCCGCCAGAAUGAAACUCUUCUUUUGUUUCACAUGUUUUUGUGUGUGCGUGUCACCGAGCGUUUGCUGUGCUGGAGGUUGGUUUUUAGCUCUCAACAAGCUCAGAAGUGGCAGAAAACCAGCCUCCUAAAACUGUCCUUUAACGCCACUCCGUGAAUGUGAGGGUGCAUGUUGGUUUUUUAAAGCGCCAGGCAGCUGGGACGACAGAGUACGGCUGUCAAAUUCUCAUCUUUAUCCCCGAGGAGGGUUUAGAUUUUUUUUUACUGAUUUAUAAGCUCUAAAAGGGGGUUUUUGUUUAAUUAGCAGCCAUUUUGGAUUUAAGCAUUUAGUGACAAACUAAAGUGAGGUGAGAUAAAGUCCUAAAAUCAUGAAAACAAAGGAAAAAAGGAAGCUUUAUCUUCCGAUUUGAAUUUUCAUUUUCAUUUGGGAGUAAAUGAAACAGCAGCUUCCAGUGUCACAGCGCUCUGCUGCACUUUUUUAGGUCAGACCAGGGGAAAGGUCACAUAAAUGCGCUUGUUUGGUCUCAGUUUUAUCAGGAAACUGGAGAAAAAGUUUCCUAACAACACAGGCAAGUUAAACGGCUUUUAUAGAGAAUAAAUUCCUUUAAAUUCAAAUUUAAUCUGAAACAAAUUGGGAUUUAAGGAAAUCUGAGUCAAAAAAUGUCGUCCCACAAAUGCCUGGUUUGCUUUCUAGAAUCGCUUUCCUCUUUUCCUUCAUUCCAUUCCUCUUUCAGCUACAAUCAAAGACAGCCAGCCUGGAUCUGGGCUUCGGCUGACAGCUUUCCUGACUGACGGGUUGUUAGCUUGCCUUAUGGUGGCGUAUACUGUGCUAGUACUGGGCUUUGGAGCUAUCACACCAACAAAACGCUAAGUUUCUAGCUGAACUUUGGUUGGACAUCCACGUGGACGUGACAGAGUGAGCCUGACGUUUCAUUUCUAAGCCUGGCGGGGAGACUCCCACCGCCGUCCGACUUUCAUAUCAACCAUCACUGGGUUGGCUCGGAGCCGUUUCUGAGAGUCAUCUUCUGCGUUCUGAUCUCCUGUGUAUGCAUAUAUGUAUCUUUUCUGCCUUGGUUGAUUAUGAAGAAAAUUUACCUAUUUUUUGUAACUGUUCUCUGAUGUGCCAUAACUCAUGUUUUCUUGCACACUGUUAAUAUUUUGUGGAUAUUGCUGUUAAAAAAAGAUGAUAUUGAGAAGUAGAAGACAUUAAUAAAAAGAUAACAUGAUA